AAGAAAAAAAAAACCAUAUAUAUGUAAGACUCAGAUCGACGUCCGGUCUCUAAUCGACGUCCGUUCCUCAAAUGGACGUCCAAAUCUGACGUCACAAUGAAAUAACAUUCCAAAUCGACGGCCAAUUUUAUGUCUAUCUAAUCGACGUCCUUUUUUUUUGGCAUUCUCUAAUCGACGUCCGAUCUCGAGCUUCUCUAAUCAACGUCCGUUUUGGACACAAACUUAAAAACAGAAGUGAACCGAUGGCAGCUGAAACAUUUAAACCUUUAAACAUAUUAAUUAUGUGAGACAAAUAAAA
rnacentral:lncRNA from 1 species